UUAACUAUUAUAUAGUACUCAGACGUUACUAAAACUAAAGAGUUUGGGUUCUCUGGCGGGCACGGUUAGCCGGAGCCAACGCCGUGAGGCGGCCCGCCAAAGCAACAAAGAAGGUAGACACGGGUUUAAGUUUAUUCCCAAAGGCGGUAUUACGACCCUCCACCGCAAAAGUCGGUUGAACGUCCCGGCAGAAUUACCCGCGAAGACCCCCGACCCCAAUAUCCCAUUACAGGAUUUUAGAUACGUGGAAACUAGCCUCGUCCAGAGACGGUCGGCUUAACUUAUUAAUGAUCCUUCCGCAGGUUCACCUACGGAAA
rnacentral:misc_RNA from 1 species